UACGUAGGGGGCGAGCGUUGUCCGGAUUCAUUGGGCGUAAAGCGCGCGUAGGCGGCUCCGCAAGUCGGCCGUGAAAUCUCCGGGCUCAACUCGGAGGGGUCGGGCGAGACUGCGGGGCUCGAGGUGGGCAGAGGGCAGUGGAAUUCCGGGUGUAGUGGUGGAAUGCGUAGAGAUCCGGAGGAACACCAGUGGCGAAGGCGGCUGCCUGGGCCUGGCCUGACGCUGAGACGCGAAAGCGUGGGGAGCGAACAGG
rnacentral:rRNA from 1 species